UACGGAGGGUGCGAGCGUUGUCCGGAAUCACUGGGCGUAAAGGGUGCGUAGGCGGGUCUUUAAGUCAGGGGUGAAAUCCUGGAGCUCAACUCCAGAACUGCCUUUGAUACUGAAGAUCUUGAGUGCGGGAGAGGUGAGUGGAACUGCGAGUGUAGAGGUGAAAUUCGUAGAUAUUCGCAAGAACACCAGUGGCGAAGGCGGCUCACUGGCCCGAUACUGACGCUGAGGCACGAAAGCGUGGGGAGCAAACAGG
rnacentral:rRNA from 1 species